rnacentral:rRNA from 1 species
UGGGGAAUCUUGGACAAUGGGGGCAACCCUGAUCCAGCCAUGCCGCGUGAGUGAUGAAGGCCUUAGGGUCGUAAAGCUCUUUCGCCUGUGAAGAUAAUGACGGUAGCAGGUAAAGAAACCCCGGCUAACUCCGUGCCAGCAGCCGCGGUAAUACGGAGGGGGUUAGCGUUGUUCGGAAUUACUGGGCGUAAAGCGCACGUAGGCGGACCAGAAAGUUGGGGGUGAAAUCCCGGGGGCUCAACCCCGGAACUGCCUCCAAAACUAUUGGUCUAGAGUUCGAGAGAGGUGAGUGGAAUUCCAAGUGUAGAGGUGAAAUUCGUAGAUAUUUGGAGGAACACCAGUGGCGAAGGCGGCUCACUGGCUCGAUACUGACGCUGAGGUGCGAAAGUGUGGGGAGCAAACAGGAUUAGAUACCCUGGUAGUCCACACCGUAAAACGAUGAAUGCCAGUCGUCGGGUAGCAUGCUAUUCGGUGACACACCUAACGGAUUAAGCAUUCCGGCCUGGGGAGUACGGUCGCAAGAUUAAAACUCAAAUGAAUUG